AUUGAACGCUGGCGGCAUGCUUUACACAUGCAAGUCGAACGGCAGCGCGGGCUUCGGCCUGGCGGCGAGUGGCGAUCGGGUGAGUAAUGCAUCGGAACGUGCCCAGUAGUGGGGGAUAGCCCGGCGAAAGCCGGAUUAAUACCGCAUACGACCUGAGGGUGAAAGCGGGGGACCGAAAGGCCUCGCGCUAUUGGAGCGGCCGAUGUCGGAUUAGCUAGUUGGUGGGGUAAAGGCUUACCAAGGCGACGAUCCGUAGCUGGUCUGAGAGGACGACCAGCCACACUGGGACUGAGACACGGCCCAGACUCCUACGGGAGGCAGCAGUGGGGAAUUUUGGACAAUGGGGGCAACCCUGAUCCAGCCAUGCCGCGUGCGGGAAGAAGGCCUUCGGGUUGUAAACCGCUUUUGUUCGGGAAGAAAUCCUCUGGGCUAAUACCCCGGGGGGAUGACGGUACCGGAAGAAUAAGCACCGGCUAACUACGUG
rnacentral:rRNA from 1 species